UACACUCCUGCGGGAGGCAGCAGUGGGGAAUAUUGGACAAUGGGCGCAAGCCUGAUCCAGCCAUGCCGCGUGAGUGAUGAAGGCCCUAGGGUUGUAAAGCUCUUUCACCGGUGAAGAUAAUGACGGUAACCGGAGAAGAAGCCCCGGCUAACUUCGUGCCAGCAGCCGCGGUAAUACGAAGGGGGCUAGCGUUGUUCGGAUUUACUGGGCGUAAAGCGCACGUAGGCGGACUAUUAAGUCAGGGGUGAAAUCCCGGGGCUCAACCCCGGAACUGCCUUUGAUACUGGUAGUCUUGAGUUCGAGAGAGGGGAGUGGAAUUCCGAGUGUAGAGGUGAAAUUCGUAGAUAUUCGGAGGAACACCAGUGGCGAAGGCGGCUCACUGGCUCGAUACUGACGCUGAGGUGCGAAAGCGUGGGGAGCAAACAGGAUUAGAUACCCGAGUAGUCCCAUG
rnacentral:rRNA from 1 species